rnacentral:tRNA from 1 species
AGCCGGCGUAGCUCAACGGCAGAGCACCGCUUUCGUAAAGCGGGGGUUGUGGGUUCAAAUCCCACCGCCGGCUU